GGGCGUACCCGCCGGCAGCCCUGGCUGCGGUGGGCGCGCCGUCUCGGCGGGUGGGUGUAGGGGAGCGGGCUGAGAGGCGGCGGGAGGGCCGCUCCGUCAGAGCAGGAGGGGGCGAGGGUUGAGCAGUGCCGGGGACGCGGAGGGUUUUCAGCGUCCCUCCAUCCACGCCUGUCCCGCUGGCUGCGACGCGGGACUGCAGGUGGAACGGCUCUCCGCGCUGUCCAGUGAGCAUAUGCGACACAGGCCGCCGUCUCUCUCACAGCCCGUCUCUCUCACACCCGCACCCCACUCACACGCUCUCGCAGGCACAGCCGACCGCUCUGCACAUGCCCGAAGGGAGGGUGAAGCCCAAAUGAAGCUGCUGCCCGUACACGGGCCGUGCCCCGCACUGGCAGCGGAAAAAGAGGCGGGAGACGGGGCAGGCCUCAGGGGUGCAGCUGGGCAAGAGGCGUGAUGCUCGGGAUCCUCGAGAGACAUGCCCGUGCAGUUCCCAAGGGGUUCUCCAAAGUUUCUGGCUUUGAAACUCUUCUUCCAAAACCACAGGAAAGCGUGAAAAUAGAAAAGAUUCCCCCAAAUCAGGCCUGAGGCUGACACUUCAAGCUGGUUGAAUGGAGGAUAAAGAACACUGUGUCUACUGUCUUUGGAGAAAAAAAAAAAAUUACUGAAGUGGCUUGCACAGUAACACAUAGUCCAUGAAAGAUACGGAGCUUAGUUCUCCUAUCUUGCUAACUUGUUUUAAGCAUUUUCUGCUAUGUGAAAUCAUGCAGCGUAAGGCUUUCACAAGAAAAUGCACAGAUUUCAAAGAAAAUCACUUCAUUCAAACCUCAGUAAUAGUGCACACAUAAUCUUUCCUUCGGCCUUUGGAUUUUGCUGUUCUUUCAGCAUCAUUUUCGGAGGGAAAUAUAUAAUGCAUAUUUGUAUGUCACUUUUUAUUUCCUUUUUUAAAUAAAAGAUCAGAUACAAAAGGAAGGUAUUAAUUUACUUCAAAGGAGAAGAAUUGCUGUGCAGUAGGGUUCAACAUAUCUGUAGAGGCUACAAUAUGCUCCAGAUUUCUGAAGAUUAUUGAACUAUUCUUUGAUGAUAUUUUCAGAAGCUCUUUUAGAAUGAGCAUUUCUGAUGGAAGUCUCAGUCACAGUAGGUAUUUGGGUAUUAGGUACUUAGCAUUAGCUAUUGAAUACUUUCCACCAAGGUGUGACAGAUGCCUUGGACUUCUAGCACAUUUAUUUUUACAGCCACUAGCCUGCUAGUCAUCACAUAUUAGCAAUGUGGGAUUUAUCCUCUAUUGCUUCCUAAAUCUUACCUGAAAUCAGCCUGACAGGACAAGGUGCAGAAGCUGAUACAGCCCCUGUCUGAUUGUGGGAGGAAAUGGGAGAGAGAUUAGUGCUAAAAAUUGUAUGGCUACUCUUAUCUGAGCUGUUAGUUGCCAUCAAGGUCAGUAAUGGGUGGUUUCCUUGUUACAGGGGUUGUCUUCAGCUGGGGAUUAUUGACAUGUCUGUGUCGAGGCUGGAGUGCUGCAGUGCUUGCAAAGCCGAUGUGAGAAGAUCUCACCAUUCUCACUUCUUAAAACCACCACAAUAUCAGCUUGGUGGUAAAGACAAGGCCAAGUUUACUGCUUGCCAGCACAACCCUAACACAUUUGCCUGACAAUCGUCGGUACAGGAGAUGAGGUGUAUCAAAAUUAUGUACUCCUGCAGCAGAAGAUGGAGCUGUCAGGAUUUCCACCAGGAAAGCGGACCCAACCGUCAGCAGCCAGCCGUGCACCCUUGCGGCAAAGGCGGCCAACAGCACGUGGGGCUGCGUUAGGAAGAGUGUUGCCAGCAGGGUGAGGGAGGUGAUCCUGCCCCUCUGCUCAGCACCGGUGAGACACAUCGGGAGUACUGGGUCCAACUCCAGGCUCCCCAGUACAAGGGAGACAUGGACAUACUGGAGCAAGUCUAGUGAAGGGCCACAAAGACGACUAAGGGACCAAAGCAGCUGGCCUAAGAGAGGGCUUGCUCUCUUCAGCUCCAAAGGCUGGGUGGUUUAGCCAGGAGAGAAGAAGGCUCAAGUGAGUCUUAUAAAUACAUAUAAAUAUCUGAUGGGGGCUGAGUAAGGAAGACAGAGCCAGGCUCUUCUCAGUGAUGCCAAGCGACAGGAUGAGAAGCAAUUGGCACACAUUAAAACACAAGUAAUUCCAUUUAAGCAUUAGAAAACCUUUUUUACUGUAGGGGUAGUCAUAGACUGGGACAGGUUGUCCAGAGAGGCUGUGGAGCCUCCAGCCUUGGAGAUGCUUAAAAACUGCCAGGACAUGUCCCUCAGCAACCUUCCUUCGCUAGCUGACCCUGCUUGAGCAUGGUGGUUGGACCAGGUGAUUUCCAGAAACCCUUUCCAACCUCAUGGCUUCUGUGGUUCCAUGAUCAGGAUAUUGUCCUGUGUUUUUAUGCAGAAAAUUCCAGCUUUUGAAAUAUAAUGACUACAAUUUUGCAGUCUGUACAUAUUCAGGACAUGAGACUUUUCCACAUAAUUUCAAGACAUGGUUCAUACAGUACA